rnacentral:snoRNA from 1 species
AUUCCAUGAUGUGGACACUUUCUUAUUAGCUCUUUGAAUCCGUUCCAUGCUUUACGAUAGCUCUCCUCAUCUCUUUCUUGGAAUGCUUGAAUUUUCAAAAAGAUGUUU